GAUGAACGCUGGCGGCGUGCCUAAUACAUGCAAGUCGAGCGAACGGACGAGAAGCUUGCUUCUCUGAUGUUAGCGGCGGACGGGUGAGUAACACGUGGAUAACCUACCUAUAAGACUGGGAUAACUUCGGGAAACCGGAGCUAAUACCGGAUAAUAUUUUGAACCGCAUGGUUCAAAAGUGAAAGACGGUCUUGCUGUCACUUAUAGCUGCAUCCGCGCUGCAUUGGCUAGUUGGUAAGGUAACGGCUUACCAAGGCAACGAUGCAUAGCCGACCGGAGGGGGUGAUCGGCCACACGGGAACUGAGACACGGUCCAGACUCCUACGGGAGGCAGCAGUAGGGAAUCUUCCGCAAUGGGCGAAAGCCUGACGGAGCAACGCCGCGUGAGUGAUGAAGGUCUUCGGAUCGUAAAACUCUGUUAUUAGGGAAGAACAGAUGUGUAAGUAACUGUGCACAUCUUGACGGUACCUAAUCAGAAAGCCACGGCUAACUACGUG
rnacentral:rRNA from 1 species